CCAAGUUCCUAUUCACAUGAGACGAAUCUGCUGUUGUUCUAUCUGAGAUGUUAAUCACUGCAGGUGGAACUUGUGCAGACUGAAACUCUGAUUGGCUUAUCGAUCCUAGAGUAACCACUUUUCUCUUGUGGUUAUUUAGUGUCAUAUUCUGUAGGAUGAGUUUCGGUGUUUGCUGAAUCUCAGCAUUCAUUUCUGCCAGCUUAUUUCCCACCCGAGGCAUGGUUACUUACCAUUUCUGCUCGCUGUUGAUUCACCUCUUCCUUCAAUUCCUUCAGAUCUCCUAACUCAGCUCGAAGAUUUGCUACUUCUUUCUCGACCCCAUCCACCGUAAUCUGAACUUUGGCGCGUGUAUCUGCCAUCUCAGAUCGGAUAUGAGCCCAACUCCUGAGAGGUCAUGCGGAGGGACAGAUCAACUCCAGGGACAUGGAUUUUACCACGAGGAGUGUGUCUCCGCGCAACCUUCCUCGGCUCGUCGAUCUGUGCCCAAAUGAACGCCGCCGCCACGCUCGCCCCCACACUGGUCGUCACCUCGACGGUGGGAAUAUCUCAGCCGAUGAGGUUCCUCUUAUCAAGCCCGACAGUUCUCCGCCGUCGGUCGGAUCCGUUGCCUCGUCCCCCAACUCUUUUGAUAAACGGUGAUCAUCCUUUGAAGAUUUGGGAGCCUUGAAAGAAAUGGGGCUGCCAAUUUUUUCUAUUUUUUCUAAAGAAAAAUCUCAGCUUGUGAUGUUUGUUCAAUGUUAGAUUUGUCAUUUGUGAAGGUGAAAUCUUGUUUCGUGAAAUAUGAAAGCGAUUGAUGGUUCAUAUAGAAAUGAUUUGUUUCUUCUGAAAUUCAGUCAAUGCAAAGCGAAAUCUGGUUUUGUGAUAAA